GUGGGGAAUAUUGGGCAAUGGGGGAAACCCUGACCCAGCAACGCCGCGUGAAGGAAGAAGGUUUUCGGAUCGUAAACUUCUAUCCUUGGUGAAGAUAAUGACGGUAGCCAAGAAGGAAGCCCCGGCUAACUACGUGCCAGCAGCCGCGGUAAUACGUAGUGGGCAAGCGUUGUCCGGAAUGAUUGGGCGUAAAGGGCGCGUAGGCGGCCUGGUAAGUCUGGAGUGAAAGUCCUGCUUUUAAGGUGGGAAUUGCUUUGGAUACUGUCGGGCUUGAGUGCAGGAGAGGUAAGCGGAAUUCCCGGUGUAGCGGUGAAAUGCGUAGAGAUCGGGAGGAACACCAGUGGCGAAGGCGGCUUACUGGACUGUAACUGACGCUGAGGCGCGAAAGUGUGGGGAGCAAACAGGAUUAGAAACCCCUGUAGUCC
rnacentral:rRNA from 1 species